AUGCCUUAAACUUGUAAGAAAAAUGAUUUGGGGUGAUGGCCAAGUCCUCAUGCUAAUGUGAGACGAAUUUUUGGGUGGGUAAAGAUUGCCCCUAAAGUGACAUACCUACUUUUCUGGAUGCCUGGGUGAAGUGAUUUGCCUG
ensembl:snRNA U12 U12 minor spliceosomal RNA